UGCAGUAAUGUUACAUAUUUCAGUUGCGGCUUUAUUGCUCUUUGAGACAGGUUUUCUCAGAGUUAUGUUUUUAACAGCAAGUACACAGACUCAUCCAGGAGAGAGAGUCACUAUGUGGUGUUCACACAAUAUCCAUGUUUCUGGAUAUCUAUACUGGUUCAAACAAUCAGACGGUGCUGUACCCAUUACUAUUGUGCACAUGUUAUACACCGAAAGUCUUCAGAAGGUUGAGCCAAAAUAUUUCAACAAUUUUACAAAAGAUCACGUGGUUAUGGAUCUGUUCAUCAAAGUCACCACCCUAACAAUUAAGCAAGUGAAAUUUUCUGAUUCUGGCUUCUACUUUUGUGGUGCUACAGGUAAUGAUGUGAAAUUUGGCAAUGGAACCAGGCUUGAAGUAAAAGUUUUUAUUUAG